UCCGGUUGAUCCUGCCGGACCCGACCGCUAUCGGGGUAGGGCUAAGCCAUGCGAGUCGCGCGCCCGGGGGCGCCCGGGAGCGGCGCACGGCUCAGUAACACGUGCCCAACCUACCCUCGGGAGGGGGACACCCCCGGGAAACUGGGGCCAAUCCCCCAUAGGGGAGGGGCGCUGGAAGGCCCCCUCCCCCAAAGGGAUGGCGGCCGAUCCGCCGCCAUCCGCCCGAGGAUGGGGGCACGGCCCAUCAGGUAGUUGGCGGGUUAAAGGCCCGCCAAGCCGAAGACGGGUAGGGGCGGUGAGAGCCGCGAGCCCCGAGAUCGGCACUGAGACAAGGGCCGAGGCCCUACGGGGUGCAGCAGGCGCGAAUACUCCGCAAUGCGGGCAACCGCGACGGGGCUACCCCGAGUGCCGGGCGAAGAGCCCGGCUUUUGCCCGGUCUAAAAAGCCGGGAGAAUAAGCGGGGGGCAAGUCUGGUGUCAGCCGCCGCGGUAAUACCAGCUCCGCGAGUGGUCGGGGUGUUUACUGGGCUUAAAGCGCCCGUAGCCGGCCCGGCAAGUCGCUCCUGAAAUCCCCGGGCUCAACCCGGGGGCGGGGGGCGAUACUGCCGGGCUAGGGGGCGGGAGAGGCCGCCGGUACUCCGGGGGUAGGGGCGAAAUCCGUUAAUCCCC
rnacentral:rRNA from 1 species